rnacentral:lncRNA from 1 species
ACUGCUUGUUAUGUUCUGAACUGGAUUCUAAAUUAAUCGGUCACAAAGACUCCAUAUGAGAUAUGGACUAGACUAAGCCGAUACUCUCUUACCUUAGGAUUUGGGAGUAUUUAUUUUAUGUCAAGCAUUUACAGAUCAAUUAGCUUGGAUCAUAGUCCUAUAUGUACUAUUUUGUAGGGUAAUCCCAAAAAAUCUAAGAGAUAUAACUUCUAUCUUACUAAAGAAUAAAAAUUAUUCGAUAUUCUUUUUAGAAAAGAAGUACCUUGGUGAAGAAACUGAUGUCUUUAAUAUAGAACUUAUGAAGUUCGACAGAUAGAAGAACCAACAUAAUCUAGUAAACCCAUAGAAUCGGAUUUGAUUAGAUCGAACUCGAAACCCAUUGUAGAAGUACCAUUAAGGAAAUUUGAUAGAGUACCGUAUCCGUCGGAUAGACACUUCGAUAUCUGAGUUCGAGACGUGAUCCUAUUGAACUCGAUGACGACAACAAGGAUCUGAUCACCUACAUGGAUGCCAUGCAGAGGUCCGACUCUGAUUAGUUGCUUGGAGCCAUAAAGUUCAAAAUGGAGUCUAUGAAGGUCAAUAGUGUAUAGACAUUCGUUGGUCCACUCGAAAGGAUAAAGCUCAAAGAGUGUAAGUAGAUUUUCAAUAG